AAAACAGCCCUACGGGAGGCAGCAGUUGGGAAUCUUGGACAAUGGGGGAAACCCUGAUCCAGCCAUGCCGCGUGAGUGAUGAAGGCCUUCGGGUUGUAAAACUCUUUCGACGGGGACGAUAAUGACGGUACCCGUAGAAGAAGCUCCGGCUAACUUCGUGCCAGCAGCCGCGGUAAUACGAAGGGGGCUAGCGUUGUUCGGAAUUACUGGGCGUAAAGCGCGCGCAGGCGGUCUUCCAAGUCAGUGGUGAAAGCCCGGAGCUCAACUCCGGAACUGCCAUUGAAACUGUUAGACUUGAGGACGAGAGAGGUGAGUGGAAUUCCCAGUGUAGAGGUGAAAU
rnacentral:rRNA from 1 species